rnacentral:snRNA from 1 species
GUGCUCGCUUCAGCAGCACAUAUACUGAAAUUGGAACGAUACAGAGAAGAUUAGCAUGGCCCCUGCACAAGGAUGACAUGCAAAUUCGUGAAACAUUCCAUAUUUUU